rnacentral:rRNA from 1 species
AACGUAGGUGACGAGCGUUAUCCGGAAUUACUGGGCGUAAAGCGUGUGCAGGCUGCGAGGUAAGUGGUGUAUGAAAGCGCCCGGCUCAACCGGGCGAGGGUAGGCCAGACUGCCUUGCUGGAGGGUGGCAGAGGGAGAGGGAAUUCCGGGUGUAGUGGUGAAAUGCGUAGAGAUCCGGAGGAACACCAGAGGCGAAAGUGCUCUCCGGGGCCACACCUGACGCUCAGACACGAAAGCAUGGGGAGCGAACGGG